rnacentral:rRNA from 1 species
AACGAACGCUGGCGGCGUGGAUUAGGCAUGCAAGUCGAACGAGAAAGCGCCCUUCGGGGCGUUAGUAAAGUGGCGAACGGGUGAGUAACGCGUGGGAAACCUGCUUCUGACUGGGGGAUAACAGCUCUAACGGGCUGCUAAUACCGCAUAAUGCCCUCGAUCGCAUGUUUGAGGGUUAAAGGAGGCCUCUGUAUAUGCUUCCGGUUGGAAAUGGUCCCGCGUCCUAUUAGCUUGUUGGUGGGUAACGGCCCACCAAGGCGACGAUGGGUAGCCGGCUUGAGAGAGUGGUCGGCACACUGGGACUGAGAUACGGCCCAGACUCCUACGGGAGGCAGCAGUCGAGAGGCUUCGGCAAUGGGGGAAACCCUGACCGAGCGACGUCGCGUGGGUGAUGAAGGUCUUUGGAUCGUAAAACCCUGUCAGGUGGGAAGAAAAACCAUUCGGUUAAUACCCGAGUGGCCUGACGGUACCACCAGAGGAAGCUCCGGCUAACUCCGUG